rnacentral:lncRNA from 1 species
GUGUAUUUGGUUUCCUUCAAAAUUACUUUGUUUAUCAAUACCUUUUCCAUUGUGCUCUGUAAGAAUGUCCUAAUAAAUCUAAGCUCAUCAGUGACUGACAUUCAACUUACUUUUAAAUAAGAUUUAAUAUUAUACAGUUAUUUUACUUAUAUAUUUUCAAAAACACUAUGCUAUUUGAGAAGGUUCCUCAGAAGUACUCUUGAUAAAUUUACUAUUUAAUUUACAAAACUAUGACACAGGCAUUGCUAAUUUCAGUGUAAAAUUAGUUGAAAAUUUUAUAAAUCUACUAUAUACAUUACUCUUGAG